rnacentral:rRNA from 1 species
GGACAACCCGCCGAAAGGCGGGCUAAACCCGCGUACAUGCCACCGGGGCAUCCCGGAGGCAGGAAAGGCUUCGGCCGGACAGGGAUGGGCAUGCGGCGCAUUAGGCAGUAGGCGGGGUAACGGCCCACCUAACCGACGAUGCGUAGGGGUUCUGAGAGGAAGGUCCCCCACACUGGUACUGAGACACGGACCAGACUCCUACGGGAGGCAGCAGUGAGGAAUAUUGGUCAAUGGUCGGGAGACUGAACCAGCCAAGCCGCGUGAGGGAUGAAGGUACAGAGUAUCGUAAACCUCUUUUGUCAGGGAACAAAGGCGGGGACGUGUCCCCGGAUGAGUGUACCUGAAGAAAAAGCAUCGGCUAACUCCGUGCCAGCAGCCGCGGUAAUACGGAGGAUGCGAGCGUUAUCCGGAUUUAUUGGGUUUAAAGGGUGCGCAGGCGGUCUGUUAAGUCAGCGGUCAAAGCCCGGGGCUCAACCCCGGCCCGCCGUUGAAACUGGCAGUCUCGAGUUGGAGAGAAGUAUGCGGAAUGCGCGGUGUAGCGGUGAAAUGCAUAGAUAUCGCGCAGAACUCCGAUUGCGAAGGCAGCAUGCCGGCUCCACACUGACGCUGAGGCACGAAAGCGUGGGUAUCGAACAGGAUUAGAUACCCUGGUAGUCCACGCAGUAAACGAUGAAUGCUGGCUGUCCGGGGGGGAUUGACCCCUGGGU